GGGCCCUUAGCUCAGUUGGUUAGAGCAGUGGACUCAUAAUCCAAAGGUCGUGGGAUCAUACCCCUCAGGGCCCAC
rnacentral:tRNA from 1 species